rnacentral:rRNA from 1 species
UGUGCAAAGGUAGCAUAAUCAUUUGGCUUAUAAUUGAAGUCUGGCAUGAAAGGAUUCAUGGGAAGUGACUGUCUUUGAAGACAUACCAGAAAUUACUCAGCGAGUGAAAAUUCUUGCAAAUACUUAAUAGACGAGAAGACCCUAGAAGUUUUAUAUACAGUAAUUAAGAUAUUAGUACUAUUUUGUUGGGGCGACAGAGUAGCAGUAAACCUAUUCUUAUAAAUUAGAACUAUAUGCUGAGUUAAAUCAAACUACUCUAGGGAUAACAGCAUAAUUUAUUAAAGUUUGUGACCUCGAUGUUGGACUAGGGAUCUUAGUACUUAGAAGGUGCUAUGCCAAGCUCUGUUCGAGCUAUUUUCCCUACAUGAUCUGAGUUCAAAUCGA